rnacentral:rRNA from 1 species
UCGCGGCCUAUCAGCUUGUUGGUGGGGUAACGGCUUACCAAGGCGACGACGGGUAGCUGGUCUGAGAGGAUGGCCAGCCACAUUGGGGCUGAGAGACGGCCCAGACUCCUACGGGAGGCAGCAGUGGGGAAUCUUGCGCAAUGGGCGAAAGCCUGACGCAGCGACGCCGCGUGGAGGAUGAGGCCCUUCGGGGUGUAAACUCCUGUUGCCCGGGACGAAUGGCGUACAUUGGUGCGCUUGACGGUACCGGGUGAGGAAGCACCGGCUAACUCUGUGCCAGCAGCCGCGGUAAUACAGAGGGUGCGAGCGUUGUCCGGAAUUACUGGGCGUAAAGGGCGCGUAGGCGGCCCCGUAACGCGUGCCGUGAAAGCCCGGGGCUCAACCCCGGGUCGGCGGUGCGAACGGGGGGGCUGGAGCCCACCAGAGGCAGGCGGAAUUCCGGGUGUAGCGGUGGAACGCGUAGAGAUCCGGAAGAACACCGGUGGCGAAGGCGGCCUGCUGGGGUGGAGCUGACGCUGAGGCGCGACAGCGUGG